AGCGAGAGUAGAAGCGUUCAGCGGCCGAAACAGCCGCCCGGAAAUUGCUCUUGAA
rnacentral:ncRNA from 1 species